ACUGGCCGCACCUGAGUGUGAGUGCCUGAUAGCAUCUGAUAUCGGAAACUAAGCAGGUUUGUGCAUGGUUAGUACUUCGAUGGGAGACCAACUUGGAAGACCAGGGGCUGCUAGCC
rnacentral:rRNA from 12 species